UGACUGCUAUCGGAUUGAUACUAAGCCAUGCGAGUCUUUGUAGUAAUACAAGGCAUACGGCUCAGUAACGCGUAGUCAACCUACCCUAUGGACAAGAAUAAUCUCGGGAAACUGAGCAUAAUUCUUGAUAGAUCAUAAUGCCUGGAAUGGUUUAUGGUUAAAAUGAUUCGUCGCCAUAGGAUGGGACUGCGGCCUAUCAGCUUGUUGGUGAGGUAAUGGCCCACCAAGGCGAUUACAGGUACGGGCUCUGAGAGGAGAAGCCCGGAGAUGGGUACUGAGACAAGGACCCAGGCCCUAUGGGGCGCAGCAGGCGAGAAAACUUUGCAAUGUGCGAAAGCACGACAAGGUUAGUCCGAGUGAUUUCUGCUAAAGAGAUCUUUUGCUAGUUAUAAAACCACUAGUGAAUAAGGGGUGGGCAAGUUCUGGUGUCAGCCGCCGCGGUAAAACCAGCACCUCAAGUGGUCAGGAUGAUUAUUGCCUAAAGCAUCCGUAGCCGGCUCUGUAAGUUUUCGGUUAAAUCUAUGCGCUCAACGUAUGGGCUGCCGAAAAUACUGUAGAGAUAGGGAGUGGGAGAGGUAGACGGUACUCGGUAGGAAGGGGUAAAAUCCUUUGAUCUAUCGAUGACCACCUGUGGCGAAGGCGGUCUACCGGAACACGUUCGACGGUGGGGGAUGAAAGCUGGGGGAGCAAACCGGAAUAGAUACCCGGGU
rnacentral:rRNA from 1 species